AUUUAUCGUGUGCUUUAUUUCUGUUGUUAUCACAUUGUAAUAUGUAAUGAAAUAAUUAUAUAACUCACUGUAAUGUAGAAUCAGUGGGAGCCCCUGGCUUGUUUUCCUGCAACUAGAAGGUCCCAUCUAGGGGUGGUAGGAGACAGUGACAGAUUUCCAGGCAUUAGAUUCUCAUAAAGAGCCUGCCAUUAAUCUACAGCAUCAGUGUUACGCUGUAGAAUGGUUCAGAAUCUUAGCCACCGAGAUCCCUCGCAUGCGCAGUUCACAGUGUGGUUCAUGCUCCUAUGAGAGCCUAAUGCUGCCGCUGAUCUGACAGGAGGCGGAGCUCAGGUGGUGAUGCUGGCUGGCCCACACUCACCUCCUGCUGUGCAGCCCGGUUCCUAACAGAUACCAGUCCGUGGCCCUGGGGGUUAGGGACCCCCGUCUUACAGCAUCCAGCGGGGCCAGGCACUUGGUCUCUGCCUCCUCUCUGUCAGGAAGGAGAGAGAGAAGUUAACCACACAGAACUGACCACCCUCUUUACCCAGAAGGAGCUGAUCAGCCAUCUUUAGGCAGAAGGCUUCCUCCAGCUGCACCCAGAUUCCCCUUCUGUCUCCCACAGCACCCUGGGCUUACUUCUCCAGAUCAUGUAACACCCUGUGCUAAGAUUGUUUAUCUCUUGUCUGACUUCUUGAGUGGAUCAUAAGCUCUUUGAAUGCAGGCAUUGUGUCUUCUCACUCGCAACAUCUCCAGUGUUGAGGACAGAAGUGCCCACAGUGCAUAGGAUAUACUCAAUAAAGGAUUAUCAAAUGUCAUGGAAAUAAGGCCUUAAUUUAAAUUCAGUGGGAAGAGAUUUUCUUGAACUUUAAGAAGACUUGGGGACAAAAUUUGAACUUCUUGUAUGUGUUUCUCCUCAAAGAGCAUAGCUCUGCCUUAAUUCUUCUGAAUCUGACAUCGAGCCUCUGGAGUUUACUAGACUCUUAGGCUGGGAAGCUCUUGGUCCAUUUUUGAUCCACUGCAUUCUGCAGUGAGAUGAAGCCCAUUCCUCUGACAUCCCACUUGGUGUGCCAUGCUGAUAAACCCAUAACACUGAUGCUGUAGAUUAAUGGCAUGCCUUCACUUAUGAACACUUUUUCCCCAUGGUGACUAAUGGCAUUUUGAUGGUGUCUCCUUAGACAGCUGCCUAAAUAUAAAGCAGUAUGAGCUAAAAGAAUAAAUUGAAAAUGUCAGUCGUUUUGUGUAAUCCUUCCAUAAUAUUAUCUGGGAGCCCAGCCUAGCUUUAUGGAAAUCAUUCAGUAGAAUCAGACAAGAUUUUUCCUACAGCACUUUUAUGUUUGCAAAACCAUCAUCAUUGUCAGCUUUAAUUAAUAUUUAUUUCUGUGUAUCACACCUCAUGUUAAUAACUCUCCUCCAGGACUAUUAACAAAAUCCAGAACUGUUAUUUUUCAAUAGAGGAAGCGGAGGUAUACACAGAGGUUUGACAGCUUGCUUAAGGCUACAGGAUAAACUCAGAGUCAAGCUGAGACCAGGAGGCACAGAUCUUCAUCUCCCUGAGAAGGGCGGCUGCUCUAGGGUCAGCUUUGGGACAUAUGCCUCACCUUUGUGUGCCCAUCAGACAAAGUGAGCCACCUGGUAGCUAUGCCUGGACAUGGUAAGAAGCACGCUUUUGAAAUGAAGAGGGAGCCAUCUCAUUUUCCUGGCAUAUGUCACAUCUCUUACUGAAGGGAGAGACCCAUAGCUGCCUGUAUUGUCCGUUGGGGCAUGUCACGGUCUAGAGACAUAUGAAAGACAAAAAAGCUCACUUGUCAUCUGCCUUUCAGUCUAGGAGAGACAGCCCGAGACUGCUGCCGUGGUGGCUGUGAGACGCUGUGUCACAUAUUAAUUAGGAGGAGCAUAUGUAGCAUUUCUAAGCCAGGGGCCAUUUGUGGCGGCAGCAGCCACGCAGGAGGCAGGGAGUGCAGCUAGUAGCUAAAUGGAGGGUUUAGGAUGCAGGUUCUCGGCUCAGACACCGGGAAUGAAUCCGUUAAGAGAAUGUUGCGGCCCUCCAGGCCCCGCUCCUCCUGCCUCGCAGGUGCAGUCACUUGCUGCCCUGGGUUCCCGCGCAACCAGAAGCUUCCUGGGCCCAGCGAAAGUUCUCAUCCCCUGCUCUGUAGCCCUUGAGACGCGCGGGAGGGUUGGAAAAGCCGAGCCGAUUGUGGGUGGCAGGCCUCCACAGAGAUCGAUUUGAAGGCAGAAGCUGAACUCAUCAUACCUCUUUAGAGAAGAAGUAGUAACGUGCCCUUUUCGCUCAACAAAAACCUGGGCAAGGCCAAGGGAAAGGAUAGCAUGCCCCAUGCGGUGAGCAAGGGCGCGUGCGCAGAGUAGCCCGGCCCAACACUCACCUGGAAAUGCGGCUGGGCCAGGGUACAAAUCACAGUCUCUCUUCCAUCCCCGCCCCUGCCACCCACUUCCCUCCUCCGACUUGGCUUUCUGCGAGUGCGCGUGAGGAGAGACUUAUCCAAGGUCAGGGACAGAAGUCAGAAGAUCCUGAUGGUUGCCUGCUCCUUACUAACUGUGUAGCCUUUGGUGCCAUGUUGUGAGGAAACCCAGAUCACAUUAAGAGGCCACGAGUAAGUGUUCCAAACGACAGACCCUGCUAAGGUCUCAGCUGACAGCCAGCAUCAACUGCCAGACAACACACAGGACACGGUGGGGAUGCAGCAUCUUGGACCUCAUCCGCCUGUGCUCUAAUUCAAAGACAAAUAUGUUUCCCAACUUGCCCAAGGCUCUGGCAGGGAAAACUCAGAUCCCCAAACUCAGGUCGUUCUAGUGCAGCAAUAACCAGCUGGGUUUUCAGCAACUUGGAUGGAGCCAUCUGUGUUCCCAGCCCACAUAAAAAUAUGCACAAGAAGGGUGCAAAUCAGCAAGUCCACAGCUUCCAGAGGCCCCAGCUGGGAUGUGCCCUCCCUUUGGGGACUAAUGAAAGAGCCCAAGGAAGUCACUGAAAGCUAGAUAUAGCAAAAUGGUAGCUCAACACCAGAUGCAAUUAUUUAAUAAUAAACUCUAAAUUUGUUUGCCCCCUUAAUAAAACUCUAUAUUCCAAUAUUCAAAAUUAUUAAACAAAGUAAGGAAAUUGUUGUUUAUUUCAAAGAUUUUUGUAUGCUGCAGAUAUCACAGGUUCCCUUUAAAUAUUUAUAUUAAAAUAUGGUUCAACCCAUAAAGCCAUAGGAAUAUGUCUGUUUUGCCAAGUAAGGUAGCUCAUCUGUAUCUCUUAUGAGAAUUUUAAUAAAACAAGUAUUAAGGCUUCUUUCAGACAGUUCCAACAGCAUGAUUCUAAUUUUUGGUGUCCUUUAAAAUAUCAAAUUACUCCUGGCUAUGCUUCCUUACAGACCACCAAAGACAAUGGAACUUAGCCAGCUGACAAGGAUAUUUAUAAUCAAUCAUGGCACCCUCCAACAGUUCCCUCUCUCACACCUAUUGGUCUAAGAGAGUUUGUCUGAGAGAAUCAGGUGACAUUGGAUAGUUCAGAGCAAAUCCAAGAACCCACCUGGGAAAUUGAGCCAAUCCACAGGUCUCUCAAAAAGCAUUCAUUUAUGCUUCAUUAAGCAUUCAUUAUGACCAAGAAUUUGUGGGUUCCUAUCACUUGUCAGGCACUACCACAUCAUUAAUAUUGCGGAGUCC
rnacentral:lncRNA from 10 species